CCCUUAGAUGUUCUGGGCCGCACGCGUGCUACACUGAGUGGAUCAGCGGGUCAGGUUGCGCGAAAGCGUUUCCUAAUCUUUAAAUCCGCUCGUGAUGGGGAUUGACGGUUGCAAUUUUCUGUCAUGAACGAGGAAUACCUUGUAAGCGCGGGUCAUCAUCCCGCGCUGAAUACGUCCCUGCCCUUUGUACACACCGCCCGUCGCUCCUACCGAUUGAGUGGUCCGGUGAGGCUUUGGGAUCUGAGCGGAAAGAGCGUUUCGCUGUUUCUGCUCGGAAAACUCAGUCGAACCUUAUCAUUUAGAGGAAGGAGAAGGCGGAACA
rnacentral:rRNA from 1 species